rnacentral:rRNA from 1 species
AGUGAACGCUGGCGGUAGGCCUAACACAUGCAAGUCGAACGGCAGCACAGUAAGAGCUUGCUCUUACGGGUGGCGAGUGGCGGACGGGUGAGGAAUACAUCGGAAUCUACUUUUUCGUGGGGGAUAACGUAGGGAAGCUUACGCUAAUACCGCAUACGACCUACGGGUGAAAGCAGGGGAUCUUCGGACCUUGCGCGAUUGAAUGAGCCGAUGUCGGAUUAGCUAGUUGGCGGGGUAAAGGCCCACCAGGGCGACGAUCCGUAGCUGGUCUGAGAGGAUGAUCAGCCACACUGGAACUGAGACACGGUCCAGACUCCUACGGGAGGCAGCAGUGGGGAAUAUUGGACAAUGGGCGCAAGCCUGAUCCAGCCAUACCGCGUGGGUGAAGAAGGCCUUCGGGUUGUAAAGCCCUUUUGUUGGGAAAGAAAAGCAGCAGGUUAAUACCCCGCUGUUCUGACGGUACCCAAAGAAUAAGCACCGGCUAACUUCGUG